AUCAGCCAUGCCGCGUGAGUGAUGAAGGCCUUAGGGUUGUAAAGCUCUUUUAUCCGGGACGAUAAUGACGGUACCGGAAGAAUAAGCCCCGGCUAACUUCGUGCCAGCAGCCGCGGUAAUACGAAGGGGGCUAGCGUUGCUCGGAAUCACUGGGCGUAAAGGGCGCGUAGGCGGCUUUUUAAGUCGGGGGUGAAAGCCUGUGGCUCAACCCCAGAAUGGC
rnacentral:rRNA from 1 species